AAGGGCCGGGGCCUGCCGACAUCCGCCGCCAUCCGCCCGCUGCGCCGCCGCAUCCGCCCCGAUCCGCCACCGGCUGGCAAGCGGGGGCUGCCGCCUGCCUGCACCGUCCGCCAUUGGGGGCGCCUGCAGUAGUGCCGAGCCGCUGGCGGGGGGAGGGGGCUCAGCGGACAGGUGGGAUGGGGGUCCCUUCCUAUAGCGGAUCUACCACAUUCUGCCAGUAGCGUAGGAUGAUUGCGGUAGUGCGCCUGUCAGAUCGGCGUCGGGCGCUUCCCAGAGAGUGCCCAGCACGCGAGGUACGUUGGGAGGCAGCUUCCCGAAGAGGACACGGAGGAAGGGGGUCUCUGCUUUGUACAGCUCUGCUGGAAGGGAUGUGCUCGGGGCAGGUCUGAGUAUCAAUGAUGAAGCUUCUCUAACUGCUGCAUAAGGCUGAGUGCACUGUGCGGAUACCAACCUUGGAGAGCUGAGGACU